rnacentral:rRNA from 1 species
GAUGAAUGCUGGCGGCGUGCCUAACACAUGCAAGUCGAGCGGCAGCGUGGGGUGCUUGCACCCUGUCGGCGAGCGGCGAACGGCUGAGUAACGCGUAGGAAUUUGCCCCAAAGUGAGGAAUAACUGCCCGAAAGGGUAGCUAAUGCCGCAUAUGGUCUUCGGAUUAAAGGAUUUAUCCGCUUUGGGAGAAGCCUGCGUUGGAUUAGGUUGUUGGUAGGGUAAUGGCCUACCAAGCCGACGAUCCAUAGCUGGUCUGAGAGGAUGAUCAGCCAGACUGGAACUGAGACACGGUCCAGACUCCUACGGGAGGCAGCAGUGAGGAAUCUUCCACAAUGGGCGAAAGCCUGAUGGAGCAACGCCGCGUGAAGGAUGAAGGCCUUCGGGUUGUAAACUUCUUUUAUGAGUGAAGAAUAUGACGGUAACUCAUGAAUAAGCACCGGCUAACUACGUG